ncrna:unclassified sequences L31-Actinobacteria ribosomal protein leader
CAGGCGCCGGUUCACGUCCCGCGCGGACGACCCGGCGACC